rnacentral:misc_RNA from 1 species
AAGUCGUAACAAGGUCUCCGUUGGUGAACCAGCGGAGGGAUCAUUAAAGAGUUGAAAAACUCCCAACCAUUGUGAACGAACCUAUUAUAGUUGCUUCGGCAGGUAGUCCUCUGUAAUCGCCCGCCGGAAGCAUGCAAACUCUUGAUUAUAGUGUAUCUCUGAGUAGCUUAUUCAAUAAGUUAAAACUUUCAACAACGGAUCUCUUGGUUCUG